rnacentral:rRNA from 1 species
UUGUCUCAAAGAUUAAGCCAUGCAUGUCUCAGUACAAGCCUAAUUAAGGUGAAACCGCGAAAGGCUCAUUAAAUCAGUUAUGGUUCCUUAGAUCGUACACACAUUUACUUGGAUAACUGUGGUAAUUCUAGAGCUAAUACAUGCAAACAGAGCUCCGACCGGAGACGGAAGGAGCGCUUUUAUUAGAUCAAAACUAAUCGGCGGCGGGUUCGCCCGUUCGUCGUACAACUUGGUGAAUCUGAAUAACUUUCUGCUGAUCGCAUGGUCUCGCACCGGCGACGCAUCUUUCAAAUGUCUGCCUUAUCAACUGUCGAUGGUAGGUUCUGCGCCUACCAUGGUUGUAACGGGUAACGGGGAAUCAGGGUUCGAUUCCGGAGAGGGAGCCUGAGAAACGGCUACCACAUCCAAGGAAGGCAGCAGGCGCGCAAAUUACCCACUCCCGGCACGGGGAGGUAGUGACGAAAAAUAACGAUACGGGACUCAUCCGAGGCCCCGUAAUCGGAAUGAGUACACUCUAAACCCUUUAACGAGGAUCAAUUGGAGGGCAAGUCUGGUGCCAGCAGCCGCGGUAAUUCCAGCUCCAAUAGCGUAU